AGAGUUUGAUCCUGGCUCAGCCUGAACGCUGGCGGCGUGGCUAAGACAUGCAAGUCGCACGGAGGUAGCAAUACCUUAGUGGCGAACGGGUGAGUAAUGUAUCGCUAACGUACCCUUUAGUCUGGGAUAGCCGGGGGAAACUCCGGGUAAUACCAGGUGAAAUAACCUUGUCGCAUGGCGAGGUUCUCAAAGGAGCAAUCCGCUGAAGGAGCGGGCGAUAUCGUAUCAGCUAGUUGGUGAGGUAACGGCUCACCAAGGCGACGACGCGUAGCCGGACUGAGAGGUCGGUCGGCCACAUUGGGACUGAGACACUGCCCAGACUCCUACGGGGGGCUGCAGUAACGAAUCUUCCGCAAUGCACGCAAGUGUGACGGAGCGACGCCGCGUGUGGGACGAAGUCCUUCGGGAUGUAAACCACUGUCAGGGGUUACCAAGUUCUGAGGAACCCCAGAGGAAGGCACGGCUAACUCUGUGCCAGCAGCCGCGGUAAGACAGAGGUGCCGAGCGUUAGGCGGAAUCACUGGGCUUAAAGCGUGUGUAGGCGGGUCGUUAAGUGUCUUGUGAAAUCCCCCGGCUCAACCGGGGAAUGGCUGGGCAUACUGGCGAUCUUGAGCAGUCUAGGGGCAGAUGGAACAGACGGUGGAGCGGUGAAAUGCGUAGAUAUCGUCUGGAACGCCAAAGGUGAAGACAGUCUGCUGGGGACUUGCUGACGCUGAGACACGAAAGCCAGGGGAGCGAACGGGAUUAGAUACCCUAGUAGUCC
rnacentral:rRNA from 1 species